rnacentral:rRNA from 1 species
AUGAACGCUGGCGGUAUGCUUAACACCUGCAAGUCGCACGGUCACUUCGGUGAUAGUGGCGGACGGGUGAGUAACGCGUGAGAAUCUGUCUUCAGGUCGGGGACAACAGUUAGAAAUGACUGCUAAUACCGGAUGUGCCUUUGGGUGAAAGAUUUAUUGCCUGAAAAAGAGCUCGCGUCAGAUUAGCUAGUAGGUGGUGUAAGAGACUACCUAGGCUCCGAUCUGUAGCUGGUCUGAGAGGACGAUCAGCCACACUGGAACUGAGACACGGUCCAGACUCCUACGGGAGGCAGCAGUGGGGAAUUUUCCGCAAUGGGCGAAAGCCUGACGGAGCAAUACCGCGUGAGGGACGAAGGCUUUUGGGUCGUAAACCUCUUUUCUCAAGGAAGAUGAUGACGGUACUUGAGGAAUAAGCAUCGGCUAACCCUGUG